CGACUCUGACUCGACCGGUCUUGGCAUGGGCGAUGGUAUGAGCGCGUCCAUCAGUCGGCUCUGCUCUUCGAUGUACGACUGCCAAAACACCUGGCCGUUGUUGUUCGCCUGAGGCUAGCGGCACCGCAACACCACUUUCCGUUGAGGUUAGGACCUCUGUACGUUAUCCUUCUGCUGUGCGGUUUCUAGGCUACGUUGUGUCGCACCCGUUGAUGGAACCUGGGGGUACUAGGUUACCAGUGUGGUGUGCAUCGGGGUAUUGAGAUAAGAGAAUGCAGAAGGUAGGAGACAGAGGUAGGAGAGAACGAGGAGCUCUAUUCAGAGUUUUCUGUUGUUCAGAUGAAUAAUGUCCACGCCAAGACAGAGUUGCUGGUUAUUACAGGCGGUCAACUCACACGCCACCACGGGGACGCAGCCCCACACACACAGCCACACGCGACGGAUGGCGCACAGUCACGCCCAUUCCGGGCCCACCAGUCGGACGUUAGGACGCCGCUCCCUUCUUCCAGGCUCCCUUCUUCCUGGCUGCUUCUGUGGACUGCUCGAUGGAGGCAGAGGGGUGGUAACAUUCCCUCCCCCAAGCAGGGGCAAAAGGAAAGCAUUGGCGCAAAGCUUCAAGGUCCUCCCAAGUAGCCAAGUCGCGGGGUAAUCCGGACCAUUCCACGAGAACUUGCUGCACAAAGCGAUGCCCUUUGGUAAUUCCUCUGGUCUGAAGCACCUGGAUAGGAAUAGCAAAUUCUGGGAAAUCAGUAGGCAAUGUGGCCGGAACAGGGCCCUUGUAACCAGCGGCCAAUUUGAGCUGGGAGACAUGCACAACUGGAUGGAUCUUGCUGGCAGCAGGCAGAGCCAAGCGAUAUGCAACCUUGCCGACUGAGUCGGUGAUUUGAUAAGGACCAAAAUAUUUGAAGCUUAACUUGUGGUUAGCACGCGGCAACACAGACGACUGCACAUAGGGCUGAAGUUUCAAAUAAACCCAAUCGCCGACAGCAAACGAGCGUUCGGUCCUGUUCUUAUCAGCCUGACGCUUCAUCCGUUGUUGCGACCGAAUCAGGUGCUGAUGGAUGAGGUCCUGCAUGUGAGACCGUUCCUGGAGCCAAUCUGAUAGUGAAGCAGGGACAGUGUCAUCAACAGAAAUUCCCAGGGAUCGGGGCUUGCGACCGUAGAGGACUUCGAAGGGAGAACACCCCAAAGCUGAAUGGAAACUGGUGUUAUACCAGAAUUCUGCUGUUGGAAGCCAAGAUGACCACUUUUUUGGGCAUGCAUUAACAAAACAGCGGAGGUAGGUUUCGAGGCACUGGUUAACUCGCUCCGUCUGACCGUCGGAUUGGGGGUGGUAGGAAGAACUCAUGCGCAGCUCGGCACCCGCUAGCUUGAAGAAGUGUUGCCAAAACUGACUGGUGAACACAGGGUCCCGGUCAGAAAUCACAGCCACUGGAAAACCAUGGAGGCGAUAGACUUGAGAGACAAAAACUUGAGCCACGGUCAGCGCAGUAUACGGGUGAGACAGUGGAAUGAAAUGAGCAAACUUAGUGAAUUUAUCAACCACCACUAAAAUGCAAUCCGCGGUGCCCGAACGAGGAAGGCCUUCGACAAAAUCCAAUGACACCGUGUGCCAGGCAGACAGCGGAACUUCCAGUGGUUGUAACUUGCCUGGGUAAGCUGACCGGUCUGGUUUUGCCUGCAAACAGACUUGACAUUGCUGAACGAAUGUCUUCACAUAUUGCUUCAUCUGUGUCCAGGAAAAAAGACUCUUUACACGGCUAUAUGUAGCGGGAAUGCCGGAAUGUCCACCAAUCGCUGAGCAAUGGAGAGCUGAGACAAUCUUAUGCUGCAAUGGUUCAGCUGCCCCAAGCCAUAUACGAUUCUUAUACCGGAGCAGACCGACUUUCAAAGUGAAGUGCGGGACAGCAGCAGGAUCAACCGAUAGGCGGGCCAGGAGAGACUGGGCCUCGGCGUCAUGAUCAUAGCUGGCCUGGACGUCCAAUAACCAUUGAGGUACCACGGUGGACAAUGCAAGAAGGUCAGCAGGCACACAACGAGACAAUGCAUCAGCAACACGAUUCUCUAAACCAGGACCGUAAUGAACUUUGUAUUGCAGACCAAGUAACUUGGUGAAAACUUUAUGUUGCCAAGGUGUAUGAAGGCGCUGCUUGUUGAGUUGGGUGAGGCUUUUGUGAUCUGUGAGGAUGACAAACUCCUGGUGUUGGAGAUACGGCCGCCACUGCUGGACAGCGAGGAUCACAGCUAAGUACUCCUUCUCGUAAGUUGACAACCCUCUCAACUUAGGACCAAGUGCCUUGCUAAGAAAUGCUAGGGGGUGACCUUUUUGCAUAAGAACUGCACCGACUCCGAGUGCACUGGCGUCAGUUUCUACGAGAAAAGUGCUACUGAAAUCCGGUAAUGCAAGGACAGGAGCAGAUACUAGGGCCUUUUUCAAUGUGUUGAAAGCAAUAUCAUGCUCACUGGUCCAAAUAAAUAGGCUGCCUUUCUUGAGCAAUGCUGUAAGCGGUUGACAAAUGACCCCGAAAUUUCUGAUAAAUUUCCGGUAGUACCCAGCGAGCCCCAAAAAGCUGCGUAAAUCGCGAAUGCCACUUGGCGUUGGCCACUCAGCGAUAGCUUGGAUCUUCACUGGAUCGGUGGCCACACCUUGUGCAUCAAUAAUAUGGCCAAGAUAAGACACUUGCUGUCUUGCAAAGGAGCACUUAGAUAGCUUGACCUUCCACUGAUCUCGAGCCAAUAAUUCCAGGACCAGCUUCAGAUGACGGGUAUGGUCGUCCAGAGAUGCACUGUAUACAAGAAUGUCAUCGAAGAACACAAGAGCACACUUACGAAGUAGAGGUGCUAGAGUAUGAUUCAUAGCCUUCUGAAAUGUGCCCGGUGCCCCGGUGAGACCAAAUGCCAUAACUCGAAACUCAUAAUGGCCUGUGUGUGUCUGGAAGGCAGUCUUGUGUGACUCUCCUGCUUUGAGUAAGAUCUGGUGGAAGCCCGCUCUGAGAUCUAAUAUGGAAAACCAGGAGGCACCAAACAGCUCGUCAAGUAGCUCAUCGAUGAUGGGAACAGGGUACUUGGAUUUAACUGUAAGGGCAUUUAAAUGUCUGUAAUCCACGCAGAAACGCCAUGAAUUAUCCUUCUUUUUGACCAGCAACACUGGGGAUAAGAAUGCACUGGCACUGUGCUGAAUCAAACCACUCUGCAACAUUUCGGCCACUUGAGACUCCAUCUCAUCUUUCAUUGCUGGUGAAAAUCGAUAGGGUCGGAUGUUGACUGGUCGCGCUCCUUCAAUCAAAGGGAUAGCAUGAUCACACGAUCGAGUCGGGGGCAGGGCAGACGGUGGCUGGAACACAUCCUGAAAGCUGCGAAGCAGUCGCAUCACUGCCUCUGGUAACUGCAAGUCUUCUACCGAGUGCAACUGAGCAGGAUCAGUUGAAACAGGAAGCAAACGUUGAAUUUCCAACACUGUACCGACCGGAACCAAAGGGUUACAACCUUGUAAAAUUACUGUGCUGCCUGCAUAUGGGAUGGACAACCAUUUGUGUUUCCAGUCCACUGUCAUUGGGCUCAGCUGUUCCAGCCAAUCCAUACCCAAUAUUGCGUCAUAAAAGGGUAGAUGGAUCAACUUGAAUGUAGUACAGAAGCUAAGAUCCUGCACUGACCAAGAAGCCUGAGGGAGCUCCACAGAACACUGCAACACAGUGCCAUUUGCUACUCGUACAGACAAUGGUGUAUCCAUAGAAGUGAUGCCAGACAACUUAGAAGUGUGGGCAGAAUUCAGGAAGCUAUGAGAACUACCUGAGUCAAUUAACAUGAGCAGGUCAACCCCUUGCAGGACACCCCGAAUUCUGAAUGAUUUUGAUGGGCGGUGGACCGAGGCAGCUUCUGUAGACAAUAAGAUCAUAAAUUGCUCAGCAGAAUCCUCAAACUCGCCUUCAGAUUCAGGCUGAUCAGUUGACAGCAUCUCCCACAAUUCUUGGACAGCAUGCAACUGCACUGUAUCUGCACAUUUAUGACCCUUGUUCCACUUCUCUGCGCAGUAUUGACAGAGACCCUUAGCACGCCGGUACGCACGAAGAGAUGCCACCUUAGAAUCAACAGUUGUAGGCGCCGUCGUGUUGGUCUUGGUAUAAUCGCCCCCGCCGCCACGAGGCUGCUCCCCACGGUAGGACGAUGUGGGAGUGGCUCUCAGCAGCGGCCGAGGAAACGAAGAAUGUUCACCCCGAACCAACUCCUGCCGACGAGAAGGCUCUGCAGCUUCCUGCAACAAGGCCAAAGAGCAGGCAGUAUCGAGGUCGCCAGGACGUUGUACAAGAAUGACAGACUUGAUAUCAGCACGCAAGCCAUCAAUAAAUCUCAUAGUAUAAUACAAUGGGUCUGUUGUGUGUUCAUAGGUGACAAGCAAAUCCACUAACUCGCAAAAGCGAUCAAUGUAAUCCUGGACAGUGGAGGUCUGUUUGAUGUGGAAUAAUUUUUGGAUAACUAGCUCAUGUUGUUGACGACCAAAUCGGUCAUGGACGAACUGACAGAACUGUCGCUAGGAGAGCGAGGGCAAGCGAGGUUCAAUGGAUUGGAGCCAGCGCGCAGCUACGCCAUGGAAAUGCAUAGUUGCGGCUUUAAUCCAAACGAACUCCUCGGUAGCGUACAUGUCAAAAUAAUCUUCGCAUUGUUUUUGCCAAAGUUUGGGAUUACUGCCAUCGAACACAGGGAAAUUGAUCUUAGGAAGACCACCCAAUCCUCUACUCAGUUCCCCCCGACGAUCUAGCUCCCCAGAAUUGAGAUUAUGAUGAACUGGAAACUCAAACGAAGCAGGGGCGUUAGGUGACCAUGUACCCUUGACCGGGUAGUGGAGAUCGGCCACAGGGGGCCCAAAUCCACAUUCCCGGUGAGAUGAAGCGAAGCGGGGCCCAAAACGUGAGCCGUCAGCUUGACCGCCGGUGGCAGAAGAACACAUCGGCGCCGAUCUGGGCGAGCCGAGGAGGCCGGGCUUGGAGAAGCCGUCGACGCGCGCCCCUUGGGACCACCGGAUCUCCACUUUGGACAGCUCGGCGCGGACGGAAUCCAUGGAAGAUUGUAGGGCGUCGAGGGAGGAUUCCAUCCUGGGGCGCCAAGCGUCGAACGUGUGCUGGGUGGACUCGAGGGAGGUGACGCGCGCUCCGGUAGUGGCCUCCCAGUAGCGGACGCGGUCUGUGAGAUCCGCAUCGACCGCCGAAAGGUGAGCUUCAACGUCCGCGCGGAUGGCGGAGGCGAACUCGUCGGAGUGGCGAGCGAAGUCCGCCGCCUGGGACUCCAGCGCGCCGACGCGGAGUUCCCACUUGGAGUCGAUUGCUGUGAACCGUUUGUCGAGCUCAGCGAGAAUAGCGCGGGUCUGUUGUUCCAGCGCCUGCGUGAGCUGCGCGUCGAUAGGGGACGCCAUGGACGCGAUGGCCGAGGAAUGGAGGAAUCUGAUACCAAUUUGUUAAGGUAUGGGGUAUUGAGAUAAGAGAAUGCAGAAGGUAGGAGACAGAGGUAGGAGAGAAUGAGGAGCUCUAUUCAGAGUUUUCUGUUGUUCAGAUGAAUAAUGUCCACGCCAAGACAGAGUUGCUGGUUAUUACAGGCGGUCAGCUCACACGCCAUGGGGACGCAUCCCCACACACACAGCCACACGCGACGGAUGGCGCACAGUCACGCCCAUUCCAGGCCCACCAGUCGGACGUUAGGACGCCGCUCCCUUCUUCCAGGCUCCCUUCUUCCUGGCUGCUUAUGUGGACUGCUCGAUGGAGGCAGAGGGGUGGUAACAUACUGUGUCAGAACAGCGGGGUGCGCAAUACACUGGGCCGCCGGCUAAGAGAGAGGCAAGGCGAGGAUGUUGGGGUCGCACUGGUGGCUGUCCUCGGCUGAUGCUCCUAUGGCCACCAAUGCAAUGGAGAAGGACGUGGAGUGGAGCUUGCCUGGGCGCGUCGGGGAGGAAGAAUCGGGUCCACCGUUGGAUCGCGUAGGGUUGGUCCAGAUUAGAUGUUGGAAUGGUGCGCCAGGAGUCGUAGGUUUUUGAUCGGAUGGGAGGGGAUGCAGUUGAAUACCGAUCGGAUGGUGGGGGAUGCAGAUGAAGCACCAAAUGACCUGGCUUGAUAUUUUUCAAUCGAACUUUUCUGUCACACCAUUUUAUUGUUUCGGCCUGGUAUUUGUUGAUGUGCUCUAUGGCCUGAAGUCUGGUCCCUUCUAUGGUGUCUUUUGUUACUUGACAAUCAGCUUCAUCCUCCGUCGAAGCUAGGGUUCUUAUUGAACCCAUUCUUGCUUCUUCCGGUGUUAUUGCUUCAUCACCGAACAGAAGCUUAAAUGGAGUAAACCCUGUUGACCUUGAUACAGUGGUGUUGUGGCUCCAAACAACUUUUAUUAAUUCGUCUGGCUACUCCUCUUUCGGCUGAUUGAAGAUUGACUCUAUUAUUCCUAUUAUUAUGAUUCCAUUUGCCCUUUCUACCAACCCAUUUGACUCCGGGUGCCUCACUGAUGCAAAGUGUAUUUUUGUGCCAAUUUGGCUACAAAAAGUUUUGAAAGUUUCAGCAUCGAAUUGAGUUUCGUUAUCAACGGUGAUAGCCUUCGGUACACCGAAGUGACAAACUAUGUUUUGCCAGAAGAAUUUUUGCACUGUGGCCGGAGUUAUUAUAGCCAAAGGCUUUGCUUCAAUCCACUUAGAAAAGUAUUCCACUGUCACCACACCAUAUUUCAGAUUGCCUUGCGCUGGUGGUAGUGGCCCUAACAAAUCUAACCCCCAUCUUUGUAAUGGCCAUGUUGGUUGUAUCAGUUGAGUUAGAGAUGAAGGUUGUUUCUGGUCUCUCGCACAUCUUUGGCAAUUUUCACAUUUCUGAACUAGACCUGCCGCAUCCGAAGCUGCCUUCGGGCAGUAAAAACCUUGUCUGGAAACUUUUCCUAGUAGAGGUCUGAACCCAAUGUGGGCUCCACAUAAGCCUGCAUGUAUCUCCUUCAUUAAUUCCUGUCCUUUAGCUCUGGACAAGCAUUUGAGCAACGGUGAGCAAACUCCAUGCUUGUAUAACUCACCUUCUAUUAUUACAUAAGGUCUUGUUCUUGCUUCCAUUCUCUUGUUAUAAGCUUCAUCGUCUAAAAAACAGUUGCCCUGGAGAAAGGAAACUAUUUCAGUCCUCCAGUCUUCACUAUGUACAGGUGAGAUUGUGAGCACUACUCUUUCCAUGAGCUCGACUGAAGGUGCUUUUAUUGUUUCAAAAAGUACUUCCGAAGAAGCUUCCAACCUUCGGACCACAUCUAAAUACUUUUCAAGCUUCCAACCUUCGGACUGCAUCCAAGUACUAUGUGCCGCUGAUUUAGCUAUUAAAUCUGCAUGCUCAUUCUCUCCCCUUGGGAUAUUUUUUACAGAAAAACCUUCGAAAGAAGCUUCCAACCUUCGGACCGCAUCCAAAUACUUUUCAAGCUUCGCGUCUCUUGCCUUACUGCUUUUAUCCACAUGACCCGAGAUAACUUGCGAAUCAAUUUUGAGGAUUGCCCUUCUAAUUCCCAUUGCCUUCAGCUUCCAAAGCCCCAAAAGAAGAGCUUCGUACUCGACAAUGUUAUUUGUACAGCUGAAGUCUAACUUUAUUGCAUAACAUGUUCUGACUUUUGAAGGUUCAACUAGAACAGCUGCUACCCCUGCACCGAAGGUCCCCCAGGAUCCAUCGCAAAAUAGUCCAAGCUCCGGCAUCUUUUGUUGCUUCUUCAUCCUGAGCCCCUGGCGUCCAAUCAGCAAUGAAGUCUGCUAACGCCUGAGAUUGUAUUAUGGAUUUGUGCACGUAAUCAAUGGUAAAUUCAUUGAGUUCCGUGGCCCAUUUCCUGAUCCUUCCUGUGGCUUCUCUGUUCCUCGUUAUGUCCUUCAGGGGUUGCGAUGAAGGCACUAUUAUGUGAUAUGCUUCAAAGUAAUGCCGAAGCUUUCUGGAGGCCAUCAAUAUAGCAUACAGUACCUUCUCCAACUCUGUGUAAUUUUUCUUUGAAGGGCUGAGUACUUCGGAAAUAAAGUAUACUGGUGCUUGCUUUUUUACCUGGCCCUCUUGUUUCUCUUGUACAAGUGUUGCACUAACCGUAGCAUGGGAAGCAGCCACAUAUAGAAGUAACAGAGCUCCAGAUGAAGGUGGGGUUAGAGUUGUUAGAUCUAUCAAAUACUGCUUCAGCUCUUUGAAGGCUCUCUGUUGUGCUGGACCCCAUUGGAAGACUUCGACUAAUUUCAGUAUUUCAAAAAAGGUAAAUUCCUCUCUGCUGAUCUUGAAAUGAAUCUAUUUAAUGAUGCCAACCUUCCUGCUAAGCGACGAGCCCCCUUUUUUGAAUUUGGUGGCUCCAUCCGAAGGAUAGCUUUGAUCUUGCUUGGGUUAGCUUCGAUGCCUUUUGUUGAUACUAGGCAACCAAGAAACUUGCCCUUCUUCACUCCGAAGACACAUUUUUCUGGAUUUAGCUUGAGACCAGCUUGUCUGAAAUUGGCGAAUGUUUCUUGCAAAUCAGCAACAUGGUUUUCUUGCUUUGUGCUUUUUUACUAUGAUAUCAUCGACAUAUGUCAGCACAUUCCUGCCAAUUUGGGAGUGAAGAACCUUGGCGGUCAUUCUGCUGAAGCUUCCUCCAGCAUUCUUGAGCCCCUCAGGCAUCCAAAGAUAACAAUAUAGGUACCACUAGGAGUUAUGAAGCUUGUCUUUGGCUCAUCCUCCUUCUUCAUCCAGAUUUGAUGAUAACCUGAGUAGUAGUCCAAUAAACUCAUGAGUUCUGAAGAAGCUGCUGCAUCCACAAGGGAAUCUAUUCUUGGUAGUGGGAAUUCAUCCUUCGGACAUGCCUUGUUCAGAUCUGUGAAGUCAAUGCACAUUCUCCUUUUUCCAUUAGCUUUCUUUACCAUGACAGUGUUGGCUAGCCACUCUGGGUAUGUUACUUCUCUAAUGACGUCGGUGCUUAGAAGUCUCUUCACUUCAUUUUGUGCACCUUCGGCCUUAUCAUCGGACAUUUUCUGAAGCCUCUGCUUUCUUGGUCUGAAGGACGGGUCCACAUUGAGCGAGUGCUCAAUAAUGUCUCUAUUGACACCAGAGAGAUCAUUGGUUGUCCAAGCAAAACUAUCUUUAUUGUUAAACAAGAAUCUUAACAAGGUUUUUUCCUGUUCAUCAGACAGUUGGGAUCCCAACAAUACUUUUUGCUCUGCUAUGUCUUCACACAAAAGCAUAGGCUUCGGUUGGUCUGCUGAAGUAGCUUUCUCUCUUUUAUGCUUAUAUGCUGAUAAGCUUCAGCUUCAUCUAUAUUAUGAAUAGGCUUCGAAUCCGUCCAACUCCCUUCAGCUCUCCUGGCAACUUCUUGACUCCCGUGUACAGUAAUGGGCCCUUGUUCCGAAGGUAUCUUCAUGCAAAGAUAUGCUGGAUGAAGUAUUGCUUCGAAGGCAUUAAGCGUCCCUCGACCAAUGAUUGCAUUGUAUAGAUACUCCAUAUCAACGAUGUCAAAGACAACAUGUUCUGUUCUUGUGUUAUGAACAUAGCCGAAGGUGACUGGCAUUGUUAUCUUACCAAGUGCCACAAUAUGUCUUCCUCCGAAGCCACAAAGAGGGUGUGUUGCAUCAUGUAUCGUAUCCUCUGGCUCUUGCAUUUGCCUGAAGGCCUUUGCAAAGAUGAUAUCCGCUGCACUGCAUGUGUCCACUAAGACAUUGUGGACCAGAAAUCCUUUGAUAACACAAGAUAUUACCAUUGCAUCGUUGUGAGGAUAAUCAUUAAGCUGAAGGUCUUCCUGAGAGAAGGUAAUUAGAAUAUGAGACCACUUGGACUUGAUGAAGAGUCCUUUCACCCCCAACAUGUUGUACCCUUCUCUGUGCUUCUUUCUUCUGCUUCUUGUUGGCUGGUUCAGAGCUUGAGCCGCCUGUGAUUGGGAGCACUAGCUUCGUGGCCGAAGGUACUACAGCUUGGUUGUUUUGCAAAGCCAUCGUUGCAACUGUGGAAGUGAGUUCACUAGAGGUGGGCACCAAUGUUGGUCCUUGUUCUCAAAUGCUAUACAUCAAGAACAAGACAACACAAAUGUUAAUAAUUAGGGACCUUUGUCUUUUGAAGCAUUAUCUCCUUUUGGAUAUAAUGAUCUCCAAACGAAGGUUAUGAAGGGCAUACCUUCAUCAUCUCAGUGAACAAAUAUAAAUAAGGGUACAUGAAAUGUAAAAGAAUAUAAAUAAUGAUUAUGAAUCAGUAAGUUAUUUAUAUUCUCAUAUCAUAAACAUGAAUAAAUAUCAACAAUAUUUAUAUUACAAUGGUACCUUCGGCUUGUCAGAAGGUGAAAAUGCGAGAGUGACGUAGCAAUGAUUACAAUCCAGCGUGAACAGUACGGGGGUACUGUUCAUCUAUUUAUAGGCACAGGAUGCAACCCGGACAAAAUUACAUUCAUGUCCCUGAUUACUAACUGUAAUCAUAACGUGAACUGUUAAGGACUAGAUAGUCUUUUCCUCCUUAAGUCGGUAUUGUUCUUCGCCUUUAUUAUAAUGCUAAGCCGAAGCUCCUACAGUCAUAGCUUCGGUUUCUGUCCGCAUCAUUUUUGAGUUGUAUCUUCAUGUCACGUAUACCUUCGUGGUAUUUUGCCGAAGGUGUUUUUGCUUUGAGGACCUUCGGCGAGAAAGAAAACCCCCAACAAUAGGGUUGAAGGAGACUCGUCCUUAGAGACACCUCAUUGGAGACAUAGGUUCUUUGGAACCAAACUCCGAUAAAUCGAAUCACUCGUGUCUUUGUGUGUGUGUGUGUGUGUUUUAAUUUCACUUGCGAUUUGUUCUUCCCUCUCACCCUUUCUAAUUUCUCUUGUGAUUUCGAUUGAGUUUCUCCCAAGUUAAUUUUGCAAUCCAUUUGAGCAAUAAGUGCAAGAGAACUUCUCUCUCUUCUUCAUACUCUGAUUUAAGUAUUUCUCGCUCGAACCUCUAAUAUUGGGAUCUAGUUGUUUUAAGUGUUGAAUUUUUAGGAGUUGCUUAUUCACCACCCCUCUAGGCAACUAUCAUUUAUUUCAUGCAUAAAUGUUAUGGACUAUUGGGAUUCUUGAUGAGAUGCUUUUGUGAAUGCAUGUGUGUGUAUUCAUGUCAUGGUUUGUCAAUAUGGAUGCUCUAGAAAUAGGGCAAAGGCUAGUGAAUUUUUCAUGCAACAUAUUAAUCAUUUGAAUAAGUCUACAACACAUAAUACAAAGUACAUGCUAUGAUGUAGUAUUAUUCACUAGAACUAAAUCAUUUACAUUUAUGAGAUGAAAUAUAGUCUAAGGUGUAUAAAUGUUACACCACAUGUGAAAAAUAAAGCACAACAUGCUAUGCUAGUAGUCACCACCAUCGUAUAGCAACUCAUCGUCCUCAUCCCAAUCCUCUACCAAAACUUGGUUUUUGUUGCCACACAAAACUCCCAUCUGCCUCAUCUGCCUUCUGACUGUAGAAUUCAGCCUCCAGUUGAGCAUCGCCUCAUACAUCUAAGCAUCCUCCUUCACGUCUUGUUGCUUUUGUCUGGUGUCCUCUAAUUUAUCUAGAUCUAUGAGCUCACAAAGUCUAGAAUUGUCCUCCACCAAGUCUUUUCUUCUCUUUGCCUUUCUUCUAUCAAACAUGUCAUACAUCACCUUAGUGGCAUGCUCAUUGCAUCCUUCUUUACCUACAAAGAGAAAUACAAUAAGUUAUGCAUGCACAUUAAAAAAUAGAUUCACAAAACUAUUAUAUAGUCUAAGAACUCACUAGGCAAUCCAACAAUUAGGUCCUUUAUGAGCUACAUUUUAUUUUUAUGCUUCUCUUUCCCUAUCCUCCAUAGCUUUUUGGUCGACAACCAGCUAUUUGUGCAUCUCCCUAACAUACCAAUCAUUUGUACCUAAAUGCAUUAGAUGAAGUAGACCCUGUUCCCAUGCUUGAUGAGGUACUUCUAUUUGUGAACCCUAACAAAAUUGUCCAUAAAUUGAGACCCACACUUUAACUUUUGUUGCGUUGUUUGCUUCCAUCUGAUUGUAACCUCCAAUUCAUGUCUAAAACUAAAAUCCUCCAAGUCACAUUUUCUAGUGGUUUGUUGGAAACAAAUUAGUCACCAUAUGCCAUGGGUUUAUUUUAAAGUUUUUUUAAAGGUAUAACCAACCUAGUCAUAAACAACCAUAUAAUUGCACCAAUAACCUAUUCCAAACUUCAAGGUAACUUGGUUGCAGUGGGCUUCAAUGACACAUUUGCAUAGUACUGGCAGGAUUAUGACAUACUCUUUCUCUUUUGCCAUUCGCUUGGGCUCCGGCCAAUAAGACUUAGGUACAAAGAGCCACUCACAGAAAUGGCAUUUCUAAUAUUGGUGGUACAAAUGAUGUCAGAUUAUAAUAUAUGUGCAAGGAUGUCGGCGUUUCGAGACAGGGGGGUCCCUAAGCCGACGAGUGAGUGUGCUGCGUGCCCCAGCCCAGAUGGGUCGAGCGCGUGGGCGAGCGCGAAGGGGGGAGAGGCGAGGUGGCCGGAGUCGAGCGUGAGAGAGGUGGAAGUCCCGCGGCCUUCGUGUUCGUCCCGCGCCCAGGUCGGGUGCGCUUGCAGUAGGGGGGUUACAAGCGUCCACGCGGGUGAGGGAAGCGAGCGGCCCCAAGAGAGCGCCUGUCCCGUCCUCGGUCCCGCGCGGCCAACCUUCUCUGAGAAGGCCCUGGUCCUUCCUUUUAUAGUCGUAAGGAGAGGAUCCAGGUGUACAAUGGGGGGUGUAGCAGAGCGCUACGUGUCUAGCGGAGGGAGAGCUAGCGCCCUAGGUACAUGCCAAUGUGGCAGCCGGAGAGAUCUGGGCACCCUGCUGGUGUGAUGUCGUGGCUGUCGGAGGUGCGGCGGAGCCUGGCGGAGGGACAGCUGUUGGAGCGGUCGAGUCCCUGCUGACGUCGUUCUGCUUCCGUAAGAGAGCUGGGGGCCGCCGUCGUCAUAGAGCUUGUGGAGCGCCAUCAUUGCCCCUCUGGCGGAGCUGGCCGGAUGGGACGCCGGUCUUGUUCUCCGUGACCCGAGUCGAUUCGGGGUAGGAUGAUGAUGGCGCUUCCUGUUGACGUGGCGGUCUGUGCCCUAGGCAGGGCGACGUGGGGGUUCCUCCGAAGCCGAGGUCGAGUCCGUCUUCUGUUGCCGUGGCCGAGCCCGAGCCAUGGGGUCGGGCGAGGCGGAAGUCGUUCGGCCGAGGCGAAGUCCGAGCCCUGGGGUCGGGCGAGGCGGAGUUUCGUCGUCUUCCGGGUCUUAGCCCGAGUCCGAGCCCUGGGGUCGGGCGGAGCGGAGUUCGCCGUCUUCCGGGUCUUAGCCCGAGUCCGAGCCCUGGGGUCGGGCGGAGCGGAGUUCGCCGUCUUCCGGGUCUUAGCCCGAGUCCGAGCCCUGGGGUCGGGCGGAGCGGAGUUCACCGUCUUCCGGGUCUUAGCCCGAGUCCGAGCCCUGGGGUCGGGCGGAGCGGAGUUCGCCGUCUUCCGGGUCUUAGCCCGAGUCCGAGCCCUGGGGUCGGGCGGAGCGGAGUUCGCCGUCUUCCGGGUCUUAGCCCGAGUCCGAGCCCUGGGGUCGGGCGGAGCGGAGUUCGCCGUCUUCCGGGUCUUAGCCCGAGUCCGAGCCCUGGGGUCGGGCGGAGCGGAGUUCGCCGUGGCGCCUUUGUCAAGACCUGACUGCCGGUCAGACUCACUCUGUCGAGUGGUGCUGCAGUCGGAGUGGCGUAGGCGGCGCUGUCCCUCUGUCAGACUGGUUAGUGGAGCGGUGGAGUGACGGCGGUCACUUCGGCUCUGCCGGGGGCGCGUGUCAGGAUAAAGGUGUCAGGCCACCUUUGCGUUAAAUGCCCCUGCAAUUUGGUCAGUCGGUGUGGCGAUUUAGUCAAGGUUGCUUCUGAGCGAAGCCAAGGCCUCGGGCGAGCCGGUGAUGUGUCCGCCAUAAAAAGGGGGCCUCGGGCGAGACGGAAGUCUCUCGAGGUCGGCUGCCCUUGGCCGAGGCUAGGCUCGGGUGAAGCAUGAUCGAGUCACUCGUGUGGACUGAUCCCUGACUUAAUCGUACCCAUCAGGCCUUUGCAGCUUUAUGCUGAUGGGGGUUACCAGCUGAGAAUUAGGCGUCUUGAGGGUACCCCUAAUUAUGGUCCCCGACAGUAGCCCCCGAGCCUCGAAGGGAGUGUUAGCACUCGCUUGGAGGCUUUUGUCGCACUUUUUUGCAAGGGGACCAGCCUUUCUCGGUUGGCUUUCGUUCCGGCGGGUGCGCGCGAGCGCACCCGCCGGGUGUAGCCCCCGAGGCCUCGGAGGAGUGGUUACACUCCUUCGAGGUCUUAAUACCUCGUGUAACGCUUCGGCUGGCCUGGUCGUUCCCUCAUGCGAACUGGCCGUAGCCCGGGUGCACGGUCGGGGCCCAAGCUCUCGGGCUAGUAUGUUGACGCUGUCAACGAUUUGGCCGGAGCCGGUUUUUGCGAGAGCAGCCCCCGAGCCUCCGCACAGGGCGAGAUGACGAUCAGGGACAGACUCGACUUUUUACAUACGCCCCUACGUCGCCUUUCCGCAAGGAGGAGGGGGGGAGUGCGCCAUGUUACCCUCGAUGGGCACCGAACAUGGUGUCUCCGGUGAGCUGCAAGCGGGUAAUCCGAGUGGACGUCCGUGCCCCGUUCGUUGGGGGUCGGCUAGGGGCCCAGAGGCACGCCCAAAAGUACCUGCGGGUGAUUUGCCGGACCCGGUCCCCUGGCGACGGGGUCCGAGGGCUCGAUGCCUCCCUCCGAUGGGAUUCCGUUACAAGAUCGUUCCCGCUGGUCUCGGAAAUGUCCUAGGGUACCUCGGGAGCGCAGCCCGAGGCUCGGUUAUGUAUCGAACGUACCCCUGGUCAUCCCUCGCUCGGUGUCUGAGGCGACUGUGAACCCUUCGGGGGCCAGCCUUCGAACCCCUGAUCAGUAAUGGGCGCGGAGCCCGAGUAGCCUGAGGCGGCCAUGGAACCCUUCGGGGGGCUAGCCUUCGAACCCCUGACCAGUAGUGGGUGUCGGGCCCACGCGAUCUGAGGCGGCUGUUGAACCCUUCGGAGGGCCAGCCUUCGAACCCCUGAUCAGUAGUGGGGGGCUCGGAGCCCGGUUCCUUCGCGGAGAAGGAUCCCUUUCGGGGCAUCCCCCUUUCUCGGUCCCUGUUGCAAGAGAUAGAGAAAGAGGAAAACGGAAAAGGAUACGAAAUCGGGCGACGUGGCGUACCUUUUCUGACGUGGUUAUUAUGGCGAAGGUGAAGCGUCGCGCGCUCCUCCCAUCAGAGACGCCGCCUGUCCCGCCGCGGAGUAAAUGCGACAGGGCGAGUGGUUGGCGGGGCGGCCGUUGCGCGUGUGCGAUCCGUUCGAGGGACGGGUCACGGGUGCACCGUUUCCACGCCGUGAGAGGAGGCUCUCUUGCUGUCCCGGGAUGGGACGUGAGCCUGGCUGACAACGUGACCGCUGCGCCCGCCCGCCUGCCACCGCUAUUACUGCCGGCCCACUUUCGGUCGCUUUGACCGACGCGCCAGGCUGGCGCUGUUGGGUUGCCUCGAGUCGCGGCAUUGGCUCCGCAACCGAAGAGGCGCGAUGGUGGCACAAGUAGCGGUGCGGUUGCUUGCAUGCAGCAACUGGCGCGCCGGUUGCUUGACGCGUGGGCCUGGGUUCCCAAGCUGACGUGUCAGAAGUUGGAGAAGCGCGUCCACCUGGCGCGGUUGCAUGCCGCCUGCAUGGCUGCCCGCCCCUUCUGCCGUUGGUCUGGGCGAAAAUGGGGGGUCGCUUGUAACCGCUGGACGGUCGUGCGCACCACGCGCGGCGGUUUGGCUUCUUCUGCCCUGAGCCGGCUUGCAUGACAUGCGGGACCCAGCCCCCGAGUCGCAGGGGAGGGCCUUGGAGCGUGUUGGAGAAGACUCAGCCUGUGGCGCCUGGGGGCGCACGUAGGGAGAGUUGCCUUUAAAAGGAGGGAGACUCCUUUCGGAAGGCAACCAUGUCUUCUUCCUCCCUUAAGCGUCGUGUCUUCCCAUCUUCCAAGCCCCCGGAUGGGGGGUAUCCGCCGCCUUUCCGCCUCCUCGUUGGAGGAACGCAACUCCAUGGGAGUUGGUACCUCUCAGCCAUCGUUCGGCUUCAAGGAUUUUCAUCGUGCUGCCCGGCUGCUCCCCUCCGCCGGCGGUCACCUGAGAUGGCGACCUCCGGCUUGAUGGUGGGGGAAAGCGAGCCGGGCUGCGGCCUCUUCCCCUCCCUCAGCCUCAAGGAUUUUCAUCACCAGGGCUGGGGAGGGGAGUGCGCCGAGUUGAGGUCGGCCCCCGCGGGGGCGGCGGCCCGCUCCUUCACUCAGUGAUCGGAAGGAAAGGCGGUCGCCGUCCGUGGCGCUGGCAGCUGCAGCGUGCCUGGCUUUCAGGCGCGAGUGGCUUCGGAGCCGCUCGCGGUGCCGGCAUCCGCCACAGCAGCUUGAAGAGGUUCUGCUGCCGGCGGGAUAGCCGGGGCCGGCCACGGGCUGACCUCCAACUCUACGGCCUUCUGCCCGUCCUUGCCUCACAAGUUUUGGCAUGGGCGGGGGCCUCCUGGCAGCGGCAUCGAGCCUGAGGUCGGCGUUGCCGCUGCUUGGUCCCUCGGAGCAGAAAGCGUCGUCGUCGCCGCUGCUGGAGCAGGUGACGGCGCACCAUUCGUUGGCCUUCCGUUGCUCCACAGGCCUUCCCCCUCGGAGUGGGGUUGUUCGUGCCUGUGGAGGGGGGAACCGGAGUUCCGUUGGUAAUGGCACUUCGGAUGCCAGUGUUUUUUGUUCAUUGUGGCUGUCGGGGCCUGAACAUGUAUGUAAUUUCGGCACGGAGCCGUGUUUUUUCCUCAUUUUCGAGCACUAAGUCUCGCCUGUUGGUUAUCUGAACCGCUUUACCAAGCAUGAGUCGCCUCGUGUUAAGGUGACGGGUGAGGUAUCCGUAUCCUGGAGGCGUAGGAAUCCCUCGGCCCGUUUGGCCUUGUUGUCUGGGGCUCCUCUAGCUUAGUUAAAGAGACCCCUCGGCCGCCCUUCGGUGGACCGAGGCCAGGGGUAGCGAUAUCAGUAUGAACAGAGGCGGAGUUGGCUCGAGAAUGGGAACCUGGUUGGCCGGAGCCUAGUCGCGUUGUCCGUCAGCGGAGCCGACACCAAAGUCGAUCAGUUGAGGCCUCGGGUCGGGCUGGCGCCCUUGGAAGCCGGUUGACCGAGGCCCCGGGGGUAACCGGUUGAGCCGCCUGCUCGGGCCGGAUUCCCGGAGGAGUCCCUGGAUCGCGUCGCCGCCCGAGGCUGGGUCGGACUUUGCUGAGGGCGUCGUCGAUGCCGAGGGUGCUAUGGCUCCCUUCAGCGUGAAGACCCGAGCCUGCAGGAUCAGAUCAUCUUGUAGCGUGUGCUUUCUGCGGCCGCCGAGGCCAGAAAAAACACACCCUCGCCGCGCUUGCGAAGCUGUGCUUUCUUUCCUCUUGUUUCGAGCAUCUGGACUCUGUCGGUAACAGGGAUGUUUGUGUGAGCGAGAGUUGUUUUUCGCGGAAGGGACGAGUGAGGUAUCCGUAUCCCAGAGGCGUGGGAAUCCCUCGGCUCGGUCGGCCUUGCCGCUUACGCGUACUUUCACCCGUCCAUGAGGCCCUGUCCCCGACUCAGUCGAGAAAGCUUGAAGGACUGCUUCGGCAGGAGAACUUCCGAACGUGAAGACUUGUUCGGUCCACGGGGUCGCUUUAUCCGAGCGCAAGUUACUUAUCGCAGAAGGUGAUGAGUGAGGUAUCCGUAUCCCGGAGGCGUAGGAGUCCCUCGGCUCGGUCAGCCUUGGCUACUUACGUGUACUCCGUCGUUUCCAGGAUCCGCUUUUCGAAGUAGUCAAGAAGCACGAAAGAAAUCCUGCUAAAAAGAGGUCCUUUUUCGAGGAAAAAUUCGACGCAGAGGGGGUCUCCCCCCUUUUAGCCCCCGAGGGAGGGUCGGGCUUUGCCGAGGCUAGGCCGACCCUUCCUUGACGACUAAACUUUGCGUAGGUGCGAGGUAUAUGAACAACUUGAAAACAUCUUAAGGGUAGAAGCGACGUAGCUGUUUGAUGUUCCAAGCGUUGUCGUAGAUUUCGCCUUGAUUGUUGGCCAGCUUGUAUGUUCCGGGCUUCAGAACUUUGGCGAUGACGAAUGGCCCUUCCCAGGGGGGCGUGAGCUUGUGCCUCCCUCGGGCGUCUUGCCGCAGCCGGAGCACCAGAUCGCCCACCUGGAGUUCUCGGGACCGGACCCCUCGGGCGUGGUAGCGUCGCAGGGACUGUUGGUACCGCGCCGAGUGUAGUAAGGCCCUGUCCCGAGCUUCCUCCAGCUGGUCCAGCGAUUCCUCUCGGCUAGCUUGGUUGCUUUGUUCGGUGUAGGCCCUCGCCCUCGGGGAGCCGUAUUCCAGGUCAGUGGGCAAGAUAGCUUCAGCCCCGUAGACCAGGAAAAACGGCGUGAAGCCCGUGGCACGACUCGGCGUCGUCCUUAGGCUCCAGACCACCGAGGGGAGUUCCUUCAUCCAUCGCUUGCCGAACUUGUUGAGGUCGUUGUAGAUUCGAGGCUUGAGCCCUUGUAGAAUCAUGCCGUUGGCACGCUCUACUUGCCCAUUUGACAUGGGAUGAGCCACGGCGGCCCAGUCCACCCGGAUAUGGUGAUCCUCGCAAAAAUCCAAGAAUUUUUUGCCGGUGAACUGGGUGCCGUUGUCGGUGAUGAUGGAGUUCGGGACCCCGAAGCGAUGGAUGAUGUUGGUGAAGAAUGCCACCGCCUGCUCGGACCUGAUGCUGUUCAGAGGUCGGACCUCGAUCCACUUGGAGAAUUUGUCGAUGGCGACCAGCAGGUGCGUGUAGCCCCCGGGCGCCUUCUGCAAGGGACCGACGAGGUCCAGACCCCAUACAGCGAAGGGCCAGGUGAUGGGUAUUGUCUGCAGAGCCUGAGCGGGCAGGUGUGUCCGCUUCGCGUAGAAUUGGCACCCUUCGCAGGUGCGGACAAUUCUAGUGGCGUCAGCCACCGCCGUUGGCCAGUAGAAGCCUUGCCGGAAAGCAUUUCCGACAAGGGCUCGGGGCGCUGCGUGAUGGCCGCAAGCCCCCGAGUGUAUUUCUUGCAGCAGUUCCCGACCUUCGGCGAUGGAGAUGCAUCGCUGGAGGAUGCCCGAGGGGCUGCGAUGGUAGAGCUCCUCUUCGUCGCCCAGCAAGACGAAUGACUUGGCGCGUCGCGCUACUCGCCGAGCCUCGGCUUGGUCGAGGGGUAGCUCUCCUCGGCGGAGAUAUUGCAGGUACGGGGCCUGCCAAUCUUGAUCUAGCGUGGCCCCGCUCUGCCCUUCCUCGAUGUUCAGUGCCCCGCCCUCGGGGGCCGAGGGUACCUCGGGCUGUGCCGAGGGUACCUCGGGCUGAGCCGAGGGUACCUCGGGCUCGGGCGCGUCGUCGAGCUUGACGGAGGGUCGAUGCAGAUCCCGGGAGAAGACGUCCGGGGGGACUGUCGUUCGCCCCGGGGCUAUCUUAGCCAGCUCGUCUGCGGUUUCGUUGUAGCGCCGAGCGAUGUGGUUGAGCUCGAGCCCGAAGAACUUGUCUUCUAGGCGCCAAACCUCGUCGCAGUAGGCCUCCAUCUUCGGGUCGCGGCAGUGGGAGUUCUUCAUGACUUGGUCGAUGACGAGCUGCGAAUCACCGCGGGCGUCGAGGCGUCUGACCCCUAGCUCGAUGGCGAUCCGCAAUCCGUUGACCAGAGCUUCGUACUCGGCCACAUUGUUGGACGCUGGGAAAUGGAGGCGCAACACGUAGCGCAAGUGCUUUCCGAGGGGCGAGAUGAAGAGCAGGCCCGCGCCGGCCCCCGUCUUCAUCAGCGACCCGUCGAAAAACAUGGUCCAGAGCUCCGGUUGGAUCGGAGUCGUUGGCAGCUGGGUGUCGACCCAUUCGGCCACGAAAUCCGCCAGCACCUGGGACUUGAUGGCCUUCCGAGGGGCGAACGAGAUCGUUUCGCCCAUGAUUUCCACCGCCCACUUUGCGAUCCUGCCCGAGGCCUCUCGGCACUGGAUGAUCUCCCCCAGGGGGAAGGAUGACACCACAGUUACCGGAUGAGACUCGAAGUAGUGUCGCAGCUUCCGCCUCGUCAGGAUCGCAGCAUACAGCAGCUUUUGAACUUGUGGGUAGCGGAUCUUAGUCUCGGACAGCACUUCGCUGAUGAAGUAGACCGGCCUCUGAACGGGCAAUGCAUGCCCUUCCUCUUGCCUUUCGACCACAAUCGCGGCGCUAACCACCUGAGUGGUCGCGGCGACGUAGACCAAGAGGGCUUCUCCGUCCGCCGGGGGCACCAAGACAGGCGCCUUUGUAAGGAGCGCCUUCAGGUUGCCGAGGGCUUCCUCGGCCUCAGGGGUCCAAGCGAAACACUCGGCCUUCCUUAAGAGGCGGUACAGAGGCAGACCUCUUUCGCCGAGGCGUGAGAUGAAGCGGCUCAAGGCCGCGAGGCAUCCCAUGACCCUCUGUACCCCUUUUAAGUCCUUGAUGGGUCCCAUGCUGGUGAUGGUCGCGAUCUUCUCCAGGUUGGCUUCGAUGCCUCGCUCGGAGACGAUGAACCCUAGGAGCAUGCCUCGGGGGACCCCGAAGACACACUUCUCAGGAUUAAGCUUGACUCCUUUCGCCUUGAGACACCGGAAUGUCACUUCAAGGUCGGAGAGGAGGUCGGAAGCCUUCCUUGUCUUGACUACGAUGUCAUCGACGUAGGCCUCGACUGUGCGACCGAUGUGUUCGCCGAACACAUGGUUCAUGCACCGCUGGUACGUCGCGCCCGCAUUCCUCAAUCCGAACGGCAUGGUGACAUAGCAGUACAUGCCGAACGGCGUGAUGAAAGAAGUCGCGAGCUGGUCGGACUCUUUCAUCCGGAUCUGGUGAUACCCUGAGUAGGCAUCGAGGAAGGACAGGGUUUCGCACCCAGCGGUGGAAUCCACGAUUUGGUCGAUGCGAGGCAGAGGGUAGGGAACCUUCGGGCAUGCUUUGUUGAGACCAGUGUAGUCUACACACAUCCGCCAUUUCCCCCCUUUCUUCCUCACAAGCACAGGGUUGGCAAGCCAUUCGGGAUGGAAUACCUCUUUGAUGAACCCUGCUGCCAUUAGCUUGUGGAUCUCUUCGCCAAUCGCUCUGCGCUUCUCCUCGUCGAAUCGGCACAGAGGCUGCCUGACGGGUCGGGCUCCGGCCCGAAUAUCCAGCGAGUGCUCGGCGACAUCCCUCGGUAUGCCGGGCAUGUCCGAGGGACUCCACGCGAAGACGUCGGCGUUUGCGCGGAGAAAGUCGACGAGCACUGCUUCCUAUUUGGGGUCGAGCCCGGAACCGAUCCGGACCUGCUUGGUGGUGUCGCCACUGGGGUCGAGAGGGACGGCCUUGACCGUCUCCGCUGGCUCGAAGUUGCCGGCGUGGCGCUUCACGUCUGGCACCUCCUUGGAGAGGUUCUCCAGGUCGGCGAUGAGGGCCUCGGACUCGGCGAGGGCCUCGGCGUACUCCACGCACUCCACGUCGCAUUCGAACGCGUGUUUGUACGUGGGGCCGACGGUGAUGACCCCGUUGGGGCCCGACAUCUUGAGCUUCAGGUAGGUGUAGUUGGGGACGGCCAUGAACUUCGCGUAGCAUGGCCUCCCUAGCACGGCGUGGUAGGUUCCUCGGAACCCGACCACCUCGAACGUCAGGGUCUCCCUUCGGAAGUUGGAGGGUGUCCCGAAGCAGAUGGGGAGGUCGAGUCGCCCGAGGGGCUGGACGCGCUUCCCAGGGAUGAUCCCGUGGAAGGGCGCAGCGCCUGCUCGGACGGAGGACAGAUCGACGCGCAGGAGCUUGAGGGUCUCGGCGUAGAUGAUGUUGAGGCAGUUGCCCCCAUCCAUCAGGACCUUGGUGAGCCUGACAUCGCCGACAACGGGGUCGACGACGAGCGGGUAUUUCCCCGGGCUCGGCACAUGAUCGGGGUGGUCGGCCUGGUCGAAAGUGAUGAGCUUGUCGGACCAGUCUAGGUAGACUGGCGCCACCACCUUUACCGAGCAGACCUCCCGGCGCUCUUGCUUGCGGUGCCGAGCCGAGGUAUUCGCCGCAUGCCCUCCAUAGAUCAUGAAGCAGUCGCGGACCUCGGGGAAUUCUCCUGCUAGGUGAUCUUCAUUCUUGUCGUCGUCGCGGGCCCUGCCACCCUCGGCGGGUGGCCCGGCCCUGUGGAAGUGACGCCGAAGCAUAACGCACUCCUCGAGGGUGUGCUUGACGGGCCCCUGAUGGUAGGGGCACGGCUCCUUGAGCAUCUUGUCGAAGAGGUUCGCACCUCCGGGGGGCUUCCGAGGGUUCUUAUACUCGGCGGCGGCGACAAGGUCCGCGUCAGCGGCGUCGCGUUUCGAUUGCGACUUCUUCUUGCCUUUCUUCUUGGCGCCGCGCGGAGCAGACGCCUCGGGAGCCUCUUCCGAUGGGCGGCCCUGGGGCUGCUUGUCUUUUCGGAAGAUAGCCUCGACCGCCUCCUGGCCAGAGGCGAACUUGGUGGCGAUGUCCAUCAGCUCGCUCGCCCUGGUGGGGGUUUUGCGACCCAGCUUGCUCACCAGGUCGCGGCAAGUGGUGCCGGCGAGGAACGCGCCGAUGACAUCCGAGUCGGUGAUGUUGGGCAGCUCGGUGCGCUGCUUCGAGAAUCGCCGGAUAUAGUCCCGGAGCGACUCUCCCGGCUGUUGCCGGCAGCUUCGAAGGUCCCAGGAAUUCCCGGGGCGCACAUAUGUGCCCUGGAAAUUGCCAGCGAAGGCUUGGACCAAGUCGUCCCAGUUGGAGAUCUGCCCCGGAGGCAGGUGCUCCAACCAGGCGCGAGCAGUGUCGGAGAGGAACAGGGGGAGGUUACGGAUGAUGAGGUUGUCGUCGUCCGUUCCACCCAGUUGGCAGGCAAGGCGGUAGUCCGCGAGCCACAGUUCCGGUCUUGUUUCCCCCGAGUACUUUGUGAUAGUAGUCGGGGGUCGGAACCGGGUCGGGAAUGGCGCCCGUCGGAUGGCCCGACUGAAGGCCUGCGGACCGGGUGGUUCGGGCGAGGGACUCCGAUCCUCCCCGCUGUCGUAGCGCCCCCCACGCGUGGGGUGGUAGCCUCGGCGCACCCUUUCGUCGAGGUGAGCCCGACGGUCGCGUCGAUGGUGCUCGUUGCCGAGGUGGCCCGGGGCCGCAGGCGCGGUGUUGCGCGUGCGCCCGGUGUAGACCGAGGCUUCCCGCAUGAAUCGGGAAGUCGCGGCAUGAGGUUCCGAGGGACAACCUUGCCUUCGGGAGGCAGUGCUCUCGGCCCGCCGGGCCGCAGCGCCUUCCAGGAGAUUCUUGAGUUCUCCCUGGAUUCGCCGACCCUCGGUGGUUGACGGCUCCGGCAUCGCGCGGAUGAGCAUUGCUGCGGCUGCCAGGUUCUGACCAACCCCGCUGGAUGCGGGCGGCGGCCUGAUCCUGACAUCGUCGGCGACGCGGUGCUGGAGACCUCGGGGCAGGUGACGUAUUUCUCCGGCCAGGGGUUGGCCCACCCACGCCUGUCCGACGUCCCGACGGAUCGGCUCAAGCGCUCCUGUUCCCUCGUUGAGCCUGGCCUGCGCCUCGCGGACUUGCUCGAGUUGUGGGUCGUAACCCCCCGCCGGAGCGGGGACCACAGCUAGCUCCCGUGGGAUGUCGGCGCGAGGCACCGGCCUAGGGAGAUCACCGUCCUCCGGCAUGCCAAGAUGGUUGCCUUCGGAGGGAUCCCCUAGCUCGAUGUGGAAACAUUCGCGGCUUGGGCCGCAGCUCUCAUCGCCGAGGCUGCGGCUUCCAUCGGAACAGUCGGAUAGGCAGUAGUCACAUGCGGUCAUGAAGUCCCGCACGGCGCUGGGGUUGCCAAGUUCGGAGAAAUCCCAACCGAUGCUGGGAUCGUCAUCUUCCUCGGACCCAGAGGGCCCGUAGGUCGAGACGUCCGUCAGUCGGUCCCAAGGCGACCGCAUACGGAACCUCAGUGGGGUUGCACUCGCCUUAAUGAGAGCGCCCGCCAAAACGAGGUCGUUUGGCGGGUUGAGGCCGAGUCGAAAUGACGCAAGAUGGGAGUUAGUCGUUACCUUUUGGUCGACGAGGAGCGACGUAGUCACAUCGGGGACUGGUUGCACCAUCAUCUCUGGUCCGAGGGCGACGUCCUGCAGGCUUUCCGCGAGCGCGCCGGCGCCGUCUUCUUGCUCGGGGUCAGCGUGCCGCCGGGGGACGGCGCUUGCCUCCGUCUUGAACGCGAGGUCGACGUCCGGCGUGCCUUCCGUCGGGGUGUCGGGGGCGUCGAUUUGCUCGACGGCCGACGAAGCGCGGCCUCCCACCUGGCCUUGACGGCCCCGUCUCCUCCUCCGUUGGCGGGGGAGAGAACGGAGCGAGCCCAAAUGUUGCCCUUCCACCACGCGGGGAAGACGUCGUCGAUUCCGCCGCCGGCUGGCGGGUUGUCGGCCGCCGUUGUCGUAGUCGCGCGGCGGUGGAAGGAGUAUCAUGUCGUAGCUGCCGUCGAAGGACAUGAACUCAAGAGUCCCGAAACGAAGCACCGUCCCGGGGCGGAGAGGUUGCUGGAGACUGCCCAUCUGGAGCUUGACGGGGAGCUGUUCGUCAGCACGCAGCAGGCCCCUACCUGGCGCGCCAACUGUCGGCGUUUCGAGACAGGGGGGUCCCUAAGCCGACGAGUGAGUGUGCUGCGUGCCCCAGCCCAGAUGGGUCGAGCGCGUGGGCGAGCGCAAAGGGGGGAGAGGCGAGGUGGCCGGAGUCGAGCGUGAGAGAGGUGGAAGUCCCGCGGCCUUCGUGUUCGUCCCGCGCCCAGGUCGGGUGCGCUUGCAGUAGGGGGGUUACAAGCGUCCACGCGGGUGAGGGAAGCGAGCGUGUAACGCCCUGAAUUUGGGGGUAGAAUUUUUUCUUCUUUUCUCUCACCAAAUUCGGGCGUUACUCUCUUUUCUCUUUCCCCGUUUGCUCCUUCUUCCCAAUUUCAAACCAGUAUAGCGGCAGGUGUCCGUGUUAUGUAUAAACCAAAACCUAAGUGUCAUGGGUGUUGCAUCAUGCCGAAGCACAUUUCUUUGUCUGAUGUUGAAUGUUCGUCUCGUUCCGUCCCGGAUUUCGGUUCGCGAUUUAAUUCCGUUUAGUGGUCGCGCUCGUCGUGGGUUUUCGAUCCGCAAGGUGGCCCGGCCCAACCUAGCCCAGCCCAGCCGGCCCGGCCCGCCUCGGCCUGCGCGCCCCUGGCGCCCAACCCCCCCCCUGCGCCCCCCAUCCUCUCCCUCUCCCUCAUUUGGAUCUCCCGCGCAACAGCUUCCCUCUCCCUCUUCCACCUCUCUCUCCCCGUGGUGCCCUAGGGUUUGGAGACGGCGAUCACCGGAUUUUGGACCCCGAGGUGAGCUCCCCUCCCCUUCUCUUCUCUCUCUCCCUCCCCCUCCUCUUCUUCCCCACGCGCGCCCUCCCUCUCCCCUGCUCGCGCGCGCCCCUGCCCGCCCCUGCUCGCCGGCGGCGCGGCGCCCCCCGCCCCUGCCCGGCCCCGUGCGGCGGCGCCCGCCCUCCCCCGGCUGCGGCGGCGCUCGCCCGCCCCUCCCCCUCGCCCGCGCGGCGGCGCCCGACCCCGUCCCCGUCCCCACCCCGGCCCGCGCGGCGGCGCCCGACCCCGUCCCCGCCCCUCGUCGGCGGCGCCUCCCGCCCGCCCCCGCCCGGCCCCGCGCGGCCCCCUGCCCGCCCCUCGGCGCGGUGGUGCCCCGGCCCCCCCGCUCGGCCCCCGACCCUGUCCCUCCCCGGCGGCGCCCGCCCGCUCGGCCUCCCCGGCGGCGCUCGGCCGCUCGGCCCUCGGCCCUCGGCGCGGCUCCCCUCCCCCUCCCCCCCCGGCGGCGAUCCCGCCCGCCCCCUGCCCGACCCCGGCCCCGGCGGCGCUCGGCCUCGCCCCCUGCCCCUCCCCGGCCCCGCCCCGGCUCGCCCUCGGCUCGCCCGCUCGGCCCCGGCCGGUUCAACCGCCCCCCUGGCCGGUUCAACCGCCCUGGCCCCAGCUCGCCCGCUCGUUUCCCCGUCCCGGCCUCGCCCGACCGUAUUUUCGCUCGCCCGCGUUCGCGAUGAUUAUUCGUUAAUUAGCGUGUUGCGUCGCGCGCUUCGCCGCGCGACGGAUUUGUCUAAAUUCAGAUUCUAUCUUGUGUUGCGUCGUGCGCUUCGUCGCGCGACGAUCCAUUUUGUUUCAGGUUGUUUAAGGUGUAGCGCCGUGUGUGUAUUCACGCGAUGUUCCACUUUGGACUCAGUUUAGUCGACGUAUGCCGUCGUGCGCUUCGUCGCGCGACGCUUAACGUCUCCUCGUAACUAAGGCGAAGUGUCUCGUUGCGUGCUCGGUCGCGCGACGAUUCGUUAACUUCUUAAUUUGUUUUAGAGAGCUUUGUCGCGCGUCUCGCCGCGCGACCAUCCUUUUAUUUAUCUCCACCUGCUUAUAAUAAUUAGACAUGAAACAUGACUUUACUUUAUGCUAAACAUAGUGUCUACCUUAAAUUCCUUCCAUUAAGCGAGUGGCUAAAUUUAUAAUCAUGUAACGUUAUCGUUUCUCGACUGUCUUUUCCUCUUUCUCUCUUAACCGUACUCGCGAGCCUGCGUAGAACGUCUAUUUACUUAUUGCAUUCUAUUGUAUGGUGUACUGUUCUUUUGUAUUAAAUAUGUGGAUGUAUGUAUGUUUGCGCUCGCAUAGAGAACGAUCCAGUUGAAGAGCCCGAGGAACCCGCAGGAGAAGCCCCUGAGCAGCAGUCGUUUGGUGGAGGCAAGUGUCCCUUGACCUAUCUCUGUCCUAUUCAUUCUUUAAUUCACCUCCCGCUUUACAUAUUUAUGCCUAAGGAUUGACUAGCUUUUGUUAUCCCUGUCCUUGAUUACCUAUUUGGGUUGGAUUAUUACUGUUUAGCUUUAUGCUAUUGCUCAACUCUAAUCAAUGAACAUGAUGAGAUUAUUCAUGAUACGCUGUUUUCCCUUCUCUUAUGAUGAUGUUGUACUUGUGACCUUCAAGGGGGCUCGAGCGGUUUCUCGAGUGCCUCUCCGUAAGGACCUGUUCUAUGGAUGACCGCCCGGGAAAACAGUGCAACCAUGAGGGUGGAAUGGGAUGCCCUUAGCUGAAUAAUUAGAGGAUCCGGGGUGUAGUUCACUUAGCCGUCGUGCCGUCAAUGGGGCUCGGUGUAUGCGGCUCGCUCUGCCAAGUUUGGGUUCGCCCCUUGGGGAGGAGUGCGGUGCAUUUAGGAAACCUAACGGGUGGCUACAGCCCCGGGGAAUCUUUGUAAAGGCUACGUAGUGAUGCCCUGCUAGGCCACCUAGGUAGUGGUCAAUGGGGAGUAGCUCUCUCCGGGCAGAAUGGGAAUCACGGCUUGUGGGUAAAGUGCACAACCUCUGCAGAGUGUUUGGAAACUGAUAUAUCAGCCGUGCUCGCGGUUAUGAGCGGCCAAGGGAGCUCCAAUGAUUAGUGAUACUUGAUCAGAGAUAUUUUGGUACAGGUGGUUAUGAGAUUGAUGGUUUUGGUUAUGACUAUGGUGCUGGUAAGUGGUAUUCUUUCCGUUUGGAAAGGGUACAUUGGGCUAAUAACUUGGGUUAAUGCUAAAACUUGGCUUUCUACUAGUAAAUAAUAAUCUGACCAACUAAAAGCAACUGCUUGACUUAUCCCCACAUAAAGCUAGUCCACUACAGCCAAACAGGAUACUUGCUGAGUAUGUUGAUGUGUACUCACCCUUGCUCUACACACCAAACCCCCCCCCCAGGUUGUCAGCAUUGCAACCACUGCUCAGGCGAAGAUGAAGUGGAAGGCGACUUCCAGGAGUUCCAAGACUACGACGAGUUCUAGGUGUGGGUUAGCGGCAACCCCCAGUCGGCUGCCUGUGA
rnacentral:lncRNA from 1 species